rnacentral:tRNA from 1 species
AGGGGGGUUGGGGGGAUCGUCUUACCCCCCUUCUCAAGGGGGGUUGGGGGGAUCGUCUUACCCCCCUUCUC